rnacentral:tRNA from 1 species
GCCCUGGUGGCUUAGCCGGCAAAGCGCGUCCUUGGUACCAAACCAAAGACAAAAAGGACGAGAUCCCGGGUUCGAAUCCCGGCCAGGGCU